AACAAGGAUUCCCCUAGUAACUGCGAGUGAAGCGGGAAGAGCUCAAAUUUUGAAUCUGGCGGUCCUCGUGGUCGUCCGAGUUGUAAUCUAGAGAAGCGUUUUCCGCGCUGGACCGUGUACAAGUCUCCUGGAACGGAGCGUCAUAGAGGGUGAGAAUCCCGUCUCUGACACGGACUACCAGGGCUUUUGUGAUGCGCUCUCGACGAGUCGAGUUGUUUGGGAAUGCAGCUCAAAUUGGGUGGUAAAUUCCAUCUAAAGCUAAAUACAGGCGAGAGACCGAUAGCGAACAAGUACCGUGAGGGAAAGAUGAAAAGAACUUUGGAAAGAGAGUUAAACAGUACGUGAAAUUGCUGAAAGGGAAACGCUUGAAGUCAGUCGCGUUGGCCGGGGAUCAGCCUUGCAAUCUUGUUGGGUGCAUUUCCUGGUUGACGGGUCAGCAUCGAUUUUGACCGUCGGAGAAGGGUCGAGGGAAUGUGGCAUCCUUCGGGGUGUGUUAUAGCCUUUGAUCGUAUGCGACGGUUGGGAUCGAGGAACUCRGCAUGACCCCUCGUGGGUUUGGGGCUUCGGCUCACAUCCAUGCUUAGGAUGCUGGCAUAAUGGCUUUAAGCGACCCGUCUUGAAACACGGACCAAGGAGUCUAACAUGCCCGCGAGUGUUUGGGUGUUUAAAACCCGAGCGCGUAAUGAAAGUGAAAGUUGAGACCUCUGUCGUGGAGGGCAUCGACGCCCGGACCAGAACUUUUGUGACGGCCCUGCGGUAGAGCGUGUAUGUUGGGACCCGAAAGAUGGUGAACUAUGCCUGAAUAGGGUGAAGCCAGAGGAAACUCUGGUGGAGGCUCGUAGCGAUUCUGACGUGCAAAUCGAUCGUCGAAUUUGGG
rnacentral:rRNA from 1 species